rnacentral:piRNA from 1 species
UCCUGAAGAGACAAUGUCUAGAGCUGA